rnacentral:tRNA from 1 species
GGAGCCGUGCCUGAGUACCCAAGGACCACUUUGAUAGAGUGAACUACGGGGGUUAAAUUCCCCCCGACUCCU